rnacentral:rRNA from 1 species
UACGGAGGAUGCAAGCGUUAUCCGGAAUCAUUGGGCGUAAAGGGUCCUGAGGUGGUUUGCUAAGUCUACUGUGAAAGAUCAGGGCUCAACCCUGAAGAUGCGGUGGAAACUGGCAGGCUAGAAUACGGUAGGGGCAGGGGGAAUUCCCGGUGUAGCGGUGAAAUGCGUAGAGAUCGGGAAGAACAUCGGUGGCGAAAGCGCUCUACUGGACCGCAACUGACACUCAGGGACGAAAGCUAGGGGAGCGAAUGGG